rnacentral:rRNA from 1 species
GACGAACGCUGGCGGCGUGCUCAACACAUGCAAGUCGAGCGGUAAGGCCCUCGGGUACGACGAGCGGCGAACGGGUGAGUAACACGUGGGUGGACCUGCCUCUAGCUCUGGGAGUAAGCCUGGGAAACGUGGGUCGUAAUACCGGAUAUGACUCCACGGCGCAUGUUGUGGGGUGGAAAGCCUUGUGUGGCUAGAGAUGGGCCC